rnacentral:rRNA from 1 species
UACGUAGGUGGCAAGCGUUGUCCGGCUUUAUUGGGUUUAAAGGGUGCGUAGGCGGCUUUGUAAGUCAGUGGUGAAAUAUGGCAGCUCAACUGUCAAGGUGCCAUUGAUACUGCGGAGCUUGAGUACAGAUGAGGUAGGCGGAAUUGACGGUGUAGCGGUGAAAUGCUUAGAUAUCGUCAAGAACACCUAUAGCGAAGGCAGCUUACUAGGCUGUAACUGACGCUGAGGCACGAAAGUGUGGGGAUCAAACAGG